AUGCUUACCUGGCAGGGGAGAUAUCAUUAUCACGAAGUUGUUUACCCCAGGGUGAGACUUAUCCAUUGCACUCUGGGUAUACUGGCCCCUGUGAUUUCCCCAAAUGUGGGGAACCCACUGCAUAAUUUGUGAUAAUGGGGGACUGUGUUUACACUCUUCUCUA